rnacentral:rRNA from 1 species
AUGCAAGUGUAAGUUCACGCCACGCUUCAGAACGGGCGAAACCGCGAAUGGCUCAGGAACCGGACCUAAUCCUCGGGACCGUAAUCCUCCUCGGAGGCGAUGGAUAACUGUGGCAAUUCUAGAGCUAAUACAUGUGACACAGGCCGCGAUCGGCCGUCGCGUCGUGGUCGCCUCGCCUCGCGCGCUGGCACCCGCGGCGGCCGUCUUGGGUCGCGGCGCUACAUAUUAGACUGAGACCGAUGCGCGAUUCCCGUCCUCCCUUCGUGGCUUGCUGCGUGGGGAUCAAGGUCGGCGCGCUCCGCUUUGGUGACUCUGGAUAACUCACUGGUCGAUCGCACGGGCUUCACGCCCGGCGACGGGUCCCUCGAGGGUCCGCCCUAUCAACUGUCGACGGUCGGUUAAGUGCCUACCGUGGUUACUACGGGUAACGGGGAAUCGGGGUUCGAUUCCGGAGAGGGAGCAUGCGAAACGGCUACCACA